rnacentral:rRNA from 1 species
AGCGCGCCUUCGGGUGAGCGGCGGACGGGUUAAGUACGCGUGGGAACGUGCCCUUCUCUACGGAAUAGCCUCUGGAAACGGAGAGUAAUACAGUAUACGCCCUUUGGGGGAAAGAUUUAUCGGAGAAGGAUCGGCCCGCGUUAGAUUAGGUAGUUGGUGGGGUAACGGCCUACCAAGCCUACGAUCUAUAGCUGGUUUUAGAGGAUGAUCAGCAACACUGGGACUGAGACACGGCCCAGACUCCUACGGGAGGGUAAGCAGUGGGGGAACUCUUCAGACAAUGGGGCGCAAACCCUGAAUCUAGACCAAUGCCGCGGUGAGGUGGAUGGAAAGCCCUUAGGAGUCGUACAAGCUCUUUCGCGCUGUGAUGAGUAAUGUGCCAUAGCAAGUAAAGAAACCCCGGCUAACUCCGUGCCCAGCAACCGCGGUAAUACGGAGGGGGUUAUAGUUGUUCGGAAUAUUACUGGGGCGUACAGCGCGCGUAGGCGGAUUAGAAAAGUGGGGGUGAAAUCCCGGGGCUCAACCCCGGAAACUGCCUCCAAAACAGGUAGUCUACAAUUCCGAGAGAGGUGAGUGGAAUUCCGAGUGUAGAAGGUGACACAUACGGAGAUUUUCGGGAGGAACACC